CUCACCACAACAAAUCCAUCUCCUUCUUUCUACAGCCACGCCAGACUGGGAGGAGCCGAUUACAGCAGGUCCGUGCCAGCCCAACCCAUGCCACCAUGGGGGUGUGUGUGAGGCCACUAAUGCCCAACGAGGUGAUGCCUUCCUGGGGUACCACUGUCACUGCUCCCCUGGCUACUCUGGAGCCCACUGCCAACACAAUGUGAAUGAGUGUGAGAGUGGGCCGUGCUAGGAACGAGGUGUGUGACAGACCGGGAGGCCAACUACACGUGUGUGUGUCCUGGAGAAUACACAGGCAGAACUGCCAGC